rnacentral:rRNA from 1 species
CCUACGGGUGGCUGCAGUGGGGAAUAUUGGGCAAUGGGCGCAAGCCUGACCCAGCAACGCCGCGUGAAGGAAGAAGGCUUUCGGGUUGUAAACUUCUUUUCUCAGGGACGAAGAAUGUGACGGUACCUGAGGACUAAGCCACGGCUAACUACGUGCCGGCCCCCGCGGUAAUACGUAGGUGGCAAGCGUUAACCGGAUUUAUUGGGUGUAAAGGGCGUGUAGGCGGGAGCGCAAGUCAGAUGUGAAAACUCAGGGCUCAACCCUGCGCGUGCAUUUGAAACUGUGUUGCUUGAGUGCUGGAGAGGCGAUCGGAAUGCGGGGUGUAGCGGUGAAAUGCGUAGAUAUACGGAGGAACACCAGUUGCGAAGGCAGAUUGCUGGACAGUAACUGACGCUGAGGCGCGAAAGCGUGGGGAGCAAACAGGAUUAGAUACCCGGGUAGUC